rnacentral:lncRNA from 1 species
AAAAAGGAAAUGGGUGAUUGAAGAAGGAAGCAAUUGUGGACAACUAAGGGAAUAAAGAUAAGAUUCUUCUUCUAUUAAGCUUCUCACUUUGGGUGUCUACACACAUAUACUCUUUCACUUUCUUUGUUGGCCAGGCAGUGGAUGUGUGUGACUCAAGUAAAAACCCCCAUCGUUUGAUCAUAAUACUGGCAUAGACGAUAUGUUUAUGGUACCAAAUAAAAUGGUACAUACACAGGGCGGUGAGAGCAUAUGUGCUAACUUGACAUUGGCCAAAAAGAACACAAAAGGUGAUUAAUUUCCCCAUUUGCCUUUUGCUUGCUUUCCACUCAACUCAGGCUUCCCCGCUCUCUCACAGCAAUGAUCUUCUAUGAUGAUAUGGAUGCAUCCUUUUGUGUCUUUUUUAAUCCUAUGAGACCAGUGAUGUUUGAAC